AUUGAACGCUGGCGGCAGGCCUAACACAUGCAAGUCGAACGAGUGGCGGACGGGUGAGUAAUGUCUGGGAAACUGCCCGAUGGAGGGGGAUAACUACUGGAAACGGUAGCUAAUACCGCAUACCAUCGGAUGUGCCCAGAUGGGAUUAGCUAGUAGGUGGGGUAACGGCUCACCUAGGCGACGAUCCCUAGCUGGUUUGAGAGGAUGACCAGCCACACGGGAAAUGGGAGACGGUCCAGACUCCUACGGGAGGCAGCAGGGGGGAAUAUUGCGCAAUGGGCGCAAGCCUGAUGGAGCCAUGCCGCGUGGAUGAAGAAGGCCUCGGGUUGUAAAGUACGUUCAGCGAGGAGGCGUUACUCGCAGAAGAAGCACCGGCUAACUCCGUGCCAGCAGCCGCGGUAAUAC
rnacentral:rRNA from 1 species